AUUAAACGCUGGCGGCAUGCUUUACACAUGCAAGUCGAACGGUAGAGGGGGCAACCCCUUGAGAGUGGCGAACGGGUGAGUAAUGCAUCGGAACGUGCCCAGUCGUGGGGGAUAACGCAGCGAAAGCUGUGCUAAUACCGCAUACGAUCUCUGGAUGAAAGCGGGGGACCGAAAGGCCUCGCGCGACUGGAGCGGCCGAUGUCAGAUUAGGUAGUUGGUGGGGUAAAGGCUCACCAAGCCAACGAUCUUUAGCUGGUCUGAGAGGACGACCAGCCACACUGGGACUGAGACACGGCCCAGACUCCUACGGGAGGCAGCAGUGGGGAAUUUUGGACAAUGGGCGCAAGCCUGAUCCAGCAAUGCCGCGUGCAGGAAGAAGGCCUUCGGGUUGUAAACUGCUUUUGUACGGAACGAAAAGGUCUGGGUUAAUACCCUGGGCACAUGACGGUACCGUAAGAAUAAGCACCGGCUAACUACGUGCCAGCCGCCGCCGUAA
rnacentral:rRNA from 1 species